rnacentral:rRNA from 1 species
AGCGAACGCUGGCGGCAGGCUUAACACAUGCAAGUCGAGCGGGCCUUUCGGGGUCAGCGGCGGACGGGUGAGUAACGCGUGGGAACGUGCCCUCUGGUUCGGAAUAACUCAGGGAAACUUGAGCUAAUACAGGAUACGCCCUUUUGGGGAAAGGCUUGCUGCCGGAGGAUCGGCCCGCGUCUGAUUAGCUAGUUGGUGAGGUAACGGCUCACCAAGGCGACGAUCAGUAGCUGGUCUGAGAGGAUGAUCAGCCACACUGGGACUGAGACACGGCCCAGACUCCUACGGGAGGCAGCAGUGGGGAAUAUUGUACAAUGGGCGCAAGCCUGAUCCAGCCAUGCCGCGUGAGUGAUGAAGGCCUUAGGGUUGUAAAGCUCUUUUAUCCGGGACGAUAAUGACGGUACCGGAGGAAUAAGCCCCGGCUAACUUCGUG